rnacentral:rRNA from 1 species
AUGUACGUCUCGUAGAAUACACCAGUUCUCAACAGAUCACUGAAGUUAAGCCAAACCACGUAGGUUGCUAUCUGGAUGGGUGACCGUUUCAAAUAACAGAUGAUGCUCGUU